CUCCCCGGCCCGCCGGGGACGUCUGCGUUUGGUCCCGCCCCGGCACCUCCUUUCUAGCGCAGGAGGGUUGUAGAAACCGGGAUCUGAACGUCAGACCGGGUGUGAGGCUUCUUUACAUACUGCUCUCAAGUUUGUGAGGGCUUGGCAAACCACAGCUGCCAAGGGGCUAAGACAGACCACAGCUACUAUGCGACCUCUCUCUUCACUAGCCUCCCUUUGGCCAAAAGCGAAAGACACGUUGCUGCUCUGGAUGCACUGUGAAGCCUGGCCUAGGUUUUUCUUCCCUGGUUUUUCGAUGGUGAUCUUUCCUCUUGGCAUCGCUAUGUGCCUCUGUAAUACCUGCUUUGCCUCUCUUCGGUUGAGAACACUCCGCCAGGAGGGAAGAGCCUGGGCUUAUUCACCGCUAUAGCCCCAGCCAGCACCAGUGACUGACUACAGGUGUUUACAUCUUGAUCUUCAACUUUCAAGUCUCUGGGACUGUGAGAAAUAAAUUUCUGCUGUUGAAGCCACUCAGUAUAUAUUCUGUUACGGCAACCUGAGGUAAGGAAAAACUCUUUAAUACACCAGGGGAGGAUACUGGAUUUAUGAAACAAGACCAGAAACCUAUAAAAAGAUCAGAAAGGAAGAAUGACCUUUUGGAAAUUAAAAACAGGAGGGAGCUCCCUGGCCCGCUAGUGGUUAGAACUUGGUGUUUUUAUUGCCCUGGCCCCAGGAUCAGCCCUCCUUGGAGAACUAAAAAAAAAUCUCACAAGCAGCACAGUGUGGGGGUGAAAAAAAAUUAAAACAAGAAGCGACAGGUGAUAUAUGCUCAAAAAAGGGUCAGAGAUAAAAUCAAGGAAAUUCUCCCAGAAAGUUAAAAACAGAGGGCAAAGGGAUAGAAAGCAGGAGAGAAAGAUAAGAAAAACAGGAGAUUAAUGCUGGAAUGCCAGAAGGAAAUAACACAGAGAAAAUGUGGCAGUUAUUAAAGAAAUAAUAUAAGAAUUCACCGGAACUGAAGGAAAUUAGUCUUUAUCAACAAGGCCCGCCAAAAGCUAAACAUAUAGACCCUCUCCAAGGUUUCAAGAUAAAUUUUCAGGACAAAAACUCCAGAGAGGCAGAAAAACGAGUUAUAUAAAAAGAUGUUAUCAGAAAUGGCAGGUUUUACAGAUAAAGUAGGGACUUCAAAAUUCUCAAGGAAGUUGAUUUCCAACCUAAAAUCCUGUAUUAUAGAUUAAAUCUGAGACAUUUUCAGACAUGCAAGGUCUUAAAAAUCUUAACCCAUAUGCACCCUUCCUCAGGACAGUAAUGAAAGAUCUACUUCUCCAAAAUGAAGAACAAACCAAGCAAGAGGAAACAAAAAAUCUAAAUUCAGUCGAAAAGUGAAAGAGUCUCAGAUGCCGGAGGGCAGAAGGCCUGGAGAGCAAGAGCCCAAACUGAAGCCCUAAUCAGAAAAAGGAACAGUCCUUAUCCGAGACAUUUAAUUGCAUAGAAAACAGCCUUAAGAGGGCUUUUGCGAUGAGUAUGGAAAAAUUUAGUGAUGGGAACAUAGAAACUUUCAAAGGAAACGAAAAGACAAGAUUGACAAUAAGAAAAGCAAACAGUUGAACAAGAAAUGACAUACAGUGAUAAUAAAUUACUCAAAUGAUCAACACUCCCACAUAGUAUUGGGUUAAAAACUGACCACUAAUCAAAUUUUGCCACCCUUCUUAAUUGGGAGAGUAGAGAGAGUAAAAAUGGGAAAAUGGCAUGGUAAUCAAAUUCUAGACUGUAACACUAGGAAGCUUCUAGAGAAAGUAAAACAUAGAAAUAUCAAAAAAUGCCAGUAUAAGUAUAUAAUUUAGAAAUCAGAAAAUUAAUGCAUGCUAAUACCAGUUCAAAGUUAAAAGCAGAUGCCUCUGUGGAGCAGGACUCUGCAGUGAGGAAGCUAACAUCUGAGGAUUGGCACUGUUUAUUAUGACUCCUUAAAGAUUAUCUAUGCAUAUUAUUUUGCUUAAAACCUAAAAAAAAAUGAGGCUUAAAAAAGACCUUUCCCUUCACUGAUCUACUCCUCUUCCUCCUCUUCAAAAGAUAAAGCUUGUUUAAAAAUGAUUUGCAUAAAAAAUAAUUCUCUAAUUUAAAAAAGUCACAAAUUUCAAAAUAGUAGUAAAGCAUGUAUCAAGCUCCUACAAAUAGUGCUUUUCAAUCAAAUCAAUCCCCCAGGCAUUUUUAAACUUUUCCUAGACAAAGGUUUUGAGCAUUUGCCAUAGUUAAAGAAAUACAGAUGUCAGAAUAACACUAAGCAGUUUUAUAGUGUAACAAAUAUAUUUUAAGCAGUCAUUGCCUACAUCCUCAUACUUUUUUACGUACAAUUUUGUUUUUUCAUCCUGAACUCUGCAAUACAUCUGUUCUCCAUGUUAGGAUAUCCAACAUUCAAAUUAAAUGUGUAUAACAAAAUGAUGCCUUAGAACACUGCACGUUUCAUUUUGAAUAAAUUUAUUCUGAACCUGAUUUAGAAGAGGGAAGGCUCAUGCUUAUUACUCAAUGAUUUCUGAAAAUCUUUCUAAUUUGGAGCUCUGUAAUACAUUCAUAGUGCCAUGACACGUUUAAAAAAUAGUCAUCCUUAAAAAUACUAGAAUGUUCUUUGAAAACCUAUUACAUAUAUUCUUUUAAGCUACUCUGAUCUAAAGAAAGAAUUAAAGUUUAUGAAAAGGGAAAAUGAACAUUAAAAAGUUUAUUUCUAGCCCUGAAAGAACAAAAUUAUUGAACAAGGUCAUCAAAUACAGCAGUUAAUGUCCAUGUAACAAUUAAAUAAUUGAAUGGGAUUAAAUUAAAAAUAAGUCAAUAUAAAAUUUGAAGACAAAACAGAAAACAAGUUACUUUCACUUAAUUCCAUUUCUAGCUACAAAAAAACCCAAAAAACCCCCACAAGACAUUCCUAUCAAAGAUGUUCAGUUUCAAAGUUAAUUCUGCUUAACACAGAAUGAAAGUAUGCUUGACAAAGUUAUCAUACAUUUUUUCUCUCCAUUUGGCAACAUUCUAGAAUUGUGAGAAAGACUUCAGUUCUCUCAAGGCCAGGCCGGUGCUCAGUUCUCCUCUGUAAUCCUCACAGUAUUUACCACGGUGUCUUUGUCAGUGUGGUCAAUCAAUGUGUUAGUGAGAAAUAAAAUCCGUGUGUGUAUUUUCUUUUUCCCUUUCUUACACAUACUCAUACACCUGUGGGGAAAAACUGAUUUUAACUGUUUCUCUAUUGUGGGAGCAAUUGAGACACGGAAUACAAUCUGCUUUUUAUAUUACUAUGAAUUUCACUAUAAAAAACCUCAAAGAAGUUUAACCAGGACUUCAGCUAUAUUCUAUAAUGAUUUUAGACAUUUCACUUGAUAUGAAUCUCAGUAUGUUUUAAAAUUUUUAAACUAAAAAAACUAAUGCAAAAUUUGUAAGCACCCAUUUUGUUCUAAUUAGAGUUACUGCCUGAUCAGAUCUAGAAUUACUCCAAACUAGAAUACAGUAUAUAUAAACAAAUAUGCAUUUAUGUGAGCCCUACAAAGAAAUACUCAUAGGUAGUUUCAAAUUGCUCAUUAAAGGCACAGGGUCAUUUAGGACUGUGGUAACUAGAUACAUCUUGAGCAGCUUAGUAUUUAUAUAUUGAGGGAAAGAGAAUUUAUGUUACGUGCCAGGCACUCAACACAUAAAGACAGAGUUGUGUUAGCCUUCGUUUCUGAUGCCAGCACAAUCACUCUACUUGUUUUUUACUAUUCUAGGUAGGAUAAAAUAUUCAAUAUUUUCAGGGUUUCCCAGAUUUAACUGUCCCUAAAAGCAGCAAAAGGAACAGGAGAAAAAGGAAACUUUUAGACUGCCAGAGAGUCUGAAAUAUAAUAAAUACUAUAGUAAUAUUGUCUUAACAACAAAUGAAGACUACUAAGGUAAUUUUUAGAUUUAAAUGAGAAUUUUCAUUCUAAAGUAAUGACAAAAAGGGUAAAUACGAAAGGAAGUUAUUAAGAAAAAACCGUGAAUCUUGAUUCAGAUAUAAUUUUUCUUGCAACAAGAUGUGAACAUUUUAAUUUAAAAUUAAUAAAUCACAAUUCUGUAUUGCUUUUAAGAUUAAGAUUAUUCAAAAAUGACACAGUUCAGAAUUAACCAAAGUAUAUUUCUAUUACAAGUUAGUUUAUCCGAGUAAGUAAAGAAUAAACCACAGUGUAGCUCCCUUAACCUAGGAGUCAGGUUUUAAUGACAAAGUCCGUUGCCAGCAAUGGACAUGCAGGUAACCAUUAGAGAAGUUGUAAAUACAAACCCAAACUGCUUUUAUAAACUGAAGAGAUCUUUGUUGAGUCACAGGCAAAAAAACGGGGUACUGUCACUGCAUCCAAUUCACAUGGUCUUUAUGACUGAUGUAUAGAAGUGCCUUCCAGAGGGGUCACGAGGGUCACAGUUUGUGUCAUUUAGUUGGUUUUCUAUUUCACUGGUAGCAUCUUCUUUAUUAUAAUCCAUCCAGACAACUAUUUACAAAGAAUGUCCAAAUCUGGAACUCAAGAGACACUGUAGCUUUCCACCAGAUAAACCAGCUUUUUCUGUAAUUUAGUAAUAGCUAUAGAAGGCCAAUAUAAUCCAGAGAAAAAUAAAAUCAACAAUCAAACUGAAAACAGAGACCAUUAAGUGCUUUAGAUACAAAUUCCAUGAAUUAUUUUACUUGUUUUUGUGUAACCUUCCAACAUUACAUUACCAAUUAAAGAAAAAAAAAAAA